CGAAAUCAGUUCCUUUCGGAAGUUACAAAAUAAACUUUUGAGAUUUUAUGAUUUCGUAAAGUAAUUACUUGCAUUACCUUCACCCAUUACCAAUUCGAGUUUAUAUUGGUGAAUGGUUUUGUUACUGCCAACAAAU